AUUGAACGCUGGCGGCAGGCCUAACACAUGCAAGUCGAACGAGUGGCGGACGGGUGAGUAAUGUCUGGGAAACUGCCUGAUGGACGGGGAUAACUACUGGAAACGGUAGCUACUACUGCAUACCAUCGGAUGUGCCCAGGUGGGAUUAGCUAGUCGGUGGGGUAACGGCUCACCUAGGCGACGAUCCCUAGCUGGUCUGAGAGGGUGAACGGCCACACUGGAACUGAGACACGGUCCAGACUCCUACGGGAGGCAGCAGUGGGGAAUAUUGCACAAUGGGCGAAAGCCUGAUGCAGCAAUGCCGCGUGUGUGAAGAAGGCCUUCGGAUUGUAAAGUACUUUCAGCAGGGAGGCGUUACCCACAGAAGAAGCACCGGCUAACUCCGUGCCAGCAGCCGCGGUAAUUC
rnacentral:rRNA from 1 species